UACGUAGGGUGCGAGCGUUAAUCGGAAUUACUGGGCGUAAAGCGUGCGCAGGCGGUUUUGUAAGCCAGAUGUGAAAUCCCCGGGCUUAACCUGGGAAUGGCAUUUGGGACUGCAAGGCUUGAGUGCGGCAGAGGAGACUAGAAUUCCUGGUGUAGCAGUGAAAUGCGUAGAGAUCGGGAGGAACAUCAGUUGCGAAGGCGGCUCUCUGGACCAGCACUGACACUGAGGCACGAAAGCGUGGGGAGCAAACAGG
rnacentral:rRNA from 1 species